rnacentral:rRNA from 1 species
UACGUAGGGUGCGAGCGUUGUCCGGAAUUAUUGGGCGUAAAGAGCUCGUAGGCGGCCUGUCGCGUCGGAUGUGAAAGCCCGGGGCUUAACCCCGGGUCUGCAUUCGAUACGGGCAGGCUAGAGUGUGGUAGGGGAGAUCGGAAUUCCUGGUGUAGCGGUGAAAUGCGCAGAUAUCAGGGGGAACACCGGUGGCGAAGGCGGAUCUCUGGGCCGAUACCGACGCUGAGGAGCGAAAGCGUGGGGAGCGAACAGG